GUCUCCUGGGGAUGCUCUGGUCUCGGACAGCAGGGGAAGCCUGUAGGCGGCUUGGCUGCAGUCAUGCGAAUCUUUUGCACAGCAGGCUUGUGUGGAAACGAAAGGCAAAGAAGAGAGCGGCCGGAAGCGCUUCGUGUCAGAGUUUCUCCCUCGCAGACUGGCACCAGCCUCGUUUCAGCAGACUGAAUGGUCUCUGAGGGAUGAGACACAUGAAGCCAUUUUGCUGCACAGUGGAUGAAUUAUUUGGACUUAAGACAUGCUUCCUUGUGAAGUUGUUACACCAGGUAUCACAUGUCCCAUAAGAGGUGACAGAUGUGUUUCCUUCGUCCUGCUCAGCACAGUUGAAACUGUUUUCCCACUAGGGAGCUUGGCAACAAGGUCACCUCAGGAGCCUCAGCAAAGACCCCACGCUGGCUGUGUGUAUGGUUGCCACGAGGGGCGUCCAGCCCUUGUGGGCUUCCUCCACCUGCACAUGGCUGGAGCACAAGCACCUGCAGGAGUUCUAAGAGGGGAGGUGGAUGGGAGUCUCCCACUGGUCGGACCUCUGUGCUUCGCAGCGGUCUGUCCAGAGAGGAAGGCCUCCCCUUUGCUGGAGAGCUAUUCCUCCACAGCUGCAAUGAGGAGAUUCCAGGCGGAGCCGGGAGUCACCUACGUAACUGCAGACAAUGGCUUGGGAGCAGACUUGAGCCACACCAAUCGAGGUCUUUACCCAGAACUUUCAGAAAUGGAGCUGUGGAAAGAGAGGCAGUCCCUCCUUGAUGACAAAGCCCUAUAG
rnacentral:lncRNA from 1 species